rnacentral:rRNA from 1 species
CCUACGGAGGCAGCAGUGAGGAAUAUUGGUCAAUGGGCGAGAGCCUGAACCAGCCAAGUCGCGUGAGGGAAGACGGUCCUAUGGAUUGUAAACCUCUUUUGCCGGGGAGCAAAAAGCGGUACGUGUACCGCAUCGAGAGUACCCGGAGAAAAAGCAUCGGCUAACUCCGUGCCAGCAGCCGCGGUAAUACGGAGGAUGCGAGCGUUAUCCGGAUUUAUUGGGUUUAAAGGGUGCGCAGGCGGCGAGUUAAGUCAGCGGUAAAAUUUCGGUGCUCAACACCGCCCUGCCGUUGAAACUGGUCUUCU